GGGGGUGAAAUUGGUUUCGACGGGGUUAAUGAUGCAUCGAACUGCGCAUCGUGGUUUCCCGAAACUCACGUUAAAAAUUCGGAUAAAACAAUAACUGGCGAAUCUAAUUACGCCCUCGCUGCUUAAUUUGUAGCAGCCGUUCAGUAGUUCUUUUCCUAUUGGGAAUUAUUUGAACGUCGCUUAAAUAGGAUGGCUUUGUUGAAUGCUUUUGGCAACAAAGUGAAAUUUAAGAAAGUAUACUUUUUGUAAUCCUGUUUGUCGGAGUAUUAAAAGCGUAAAACAAUAGACAAACUAUGUGUGUAGAAGUUCGUUGAAGCAUAGCUUCGGACGCGGGUUCGACUCCCGCCACCUCCACCA
rnacentral:tmRNA from 1 species